CCAGCCAGACUACAGUGCCGCCUGGGCGGAAUAUUACAGACAGCAGGCCGCUUACUACGGACAGACCCCAGGUCCUGGCGGCCCCCAGCCGCCGCCCACGCAGCAGGGACAGCAGCAGGCAAGCUCAAUGAAUCGAAUGAAUGUGAACUUCUUCAUCUGUGAAAAAUCUUUUUUUUUUCCAUUUUGUUCUGUUUGGGGGCUUCUGUUUUGUUUGGCGAGAGAGCGAUGGCUGCCGUGGGGAGUACUGGGGAGCCCUCGCGGCAAGCAGGGUGGGGGGGACUUGGGGGCAUGCCGGGCCCUCACUCUCUCGCCUGUUCUGUGUCUCACAUGCUUUUUCUUUCAAAAUUGGGAUCCUUCCAUGUUGAGCCAGCCAGAGAAGAUAGCGAGAUCUAAAUCUCUGCCAAAAAAAAAAAAAAACUUAAAAAUUAAAAACACAAAGAGCAAAGCAGAACUUAUAAAAUUAUAUAUAUAUAUAUUAAAAAGUCUCUAUUCUUCACCCCCCAGCCUUCCUGAACCUGCCUCUCUGAGGAUAAAGCAAUUCAUUUUCUCCCACCCUCGGCCCUCUUGUUUUUAAAAUAAACUUUUAAAAAGG
rnacentral:lncRNA from 1 species